AUUAGAGUUUGGUGCUGGCUCAGCUUUCAUGCGCCGAGCAGUGGUUUAUACAUGCGAAGAAACAAGAGUUUCUGCACGAGUGAGUAUUACGCGAGUU